rnacentral:rRNA from 1 species
AUACGUAGGUGGCGAGCGUUGUCCGGAAUUACUGGGUGUAAAGGGCGCGUAGACGGGUAUGUAAGUCAGAUGUGAAAUACCGGGGCUCAACUCCGGGGCUGCAUUUGAAACUAUGUAUCUUGAGUGCAGGAGAGGUAAGUGGAAUUCCUAGUGUAGCGGUGAAAUGCGUAGAUAUUAGGAGGAACACCAGUGGCGAAGGCGACUUACUGGACUGUAACUGACGUUGAGGCGCGAAAGCGUGGGUAGC